UUUAUCUUCCAUUCCAUUCAUAAUUGGAUUACGAAAUUCCUUCGUUAUCAGUCCUACAUUUUGUUUGAGUGAUCUCUUUCAUCUGUCGUCCGCAUCUGACAGUGUUUUUGUUCUUCUUCGACAUGUCUUGGAGGUGUUGUGUUUCUGGUUGUGGUUCCGAAGGAGUACCUUUAUUUCGUAUUCCAAAAUUUAAUGAAAAUUUAAAAACUGCUUUGCAAGAAAAAAAAGGGAACGUAGAAUUGUUUGGCUUCAAAAGCUUAACGUGAAGGAAUGUGACUUAAACAACAACACUCGUGUUUGCUCUCGUCAUUUUGCAUCUGGUAGGCCAUGUAAGAAUUCUUUCGAUAACUCUCACCCAGACUGGGCACCUUAACUACACAUCAGAAAUUCCAUUUUUGACAGGGUUGUACAGAGAAACAUUAGUCGACAUUCCAGAAGGCUUGAAAGGGAAUCAAGAACAUUGGAACAGAUCAUAAAUAGGGUAAAGGUAUUCAGCCCUGUGUAAAACAGGCACUUUUUUUCAUCAACACUAAUUUCAGUAAACAACUGGCAUUUUCCUCUUUCAUUCAAAUUAUUCACUUGUUGUUGAAGGGUUUUUUCAGAUGCAGUUAACUGCUCAUUCAUUCUACGUAAUUUCUCAUUUUCAACAAGUAGACAGUCCCUUUCCCUUGUCAUCAGUUCCAACAUUUUGUAGACUCCAGUAGCCUAAAAUGAAAUACAUUAUUUAAAAAUGAAAA
rnacentral:lncRNA from 1 species